UACGUAGGGGGCAAGCGUUGUCCGGAUUUAUUGGGCGUAAAGAGCGUGUAGGCGGCCUGAAAGGUCAGCUGUGAAAACUUGAGGCUCAACCUCGAGACGUCGGUUGAAACCAUCUGGCUAGAGUCCGGAAGAGGAGUGUGGAAUUCCCGGUGUAGCGGUGAAAUGCGCAGAUAUCGGGAAGAACACCCGUGGCGAAGGCGGCACUCUGGGACGGUACUGACGCUGAGACGCGAAAGCGUGGGGAGCGAACAGG
rnacentral:rRNA from 1 species